CAAAAAUGCGGUUCAUUUUGACACUUCUUUUAAAAAAAAAUUGUAAAACAGCAGUCAAAUCGUGCUUCCUAACAACAGCAACACUAGCCACCUCAAAAUCCCGGAAAUAGACCCACACUGACGUCAGACCUCAAUCACAUCUGUUUAGCCUCAGUCAUGUAAAUGCUGGAACACUUGAUCACCACAGUUUUCUCAGUUUUCUAUAUCUUUCGAUGAGCCUGUGCCCAUGAUGGCCUCAGAUUCCUGUUCUUGGCUGACAUGAGUGGAACCCAGUGUGGUCUUCUGCUCUUGUACCUCAAGGGUCACAGGGAGCCUGGAGCCUAACCCAGGGGACUUUUGGCAAAAGGCAGGGGACAAACUGAACAGGGUGCCAACCCACCAGAGGGCACAAUUGCACACACAAUCACAAACUACAGACAAUUUGGAAAUGCCAAUCAGCAUACGAUGCAUGUUUUUGGACUGGGGGAGGAAACUGGAGUACCUGGAGGAAGCCCCAAAGGCACGGGCAGAACAUGCAAACUCAGCACACACAGGGCAGAGGGUCAGGGUGGAGCUGGAGCCUAUCCUGGGAACACUGGGCAUGAGGUGGGAUAGUUCCCAGUCCAUCACAGGGCACCAUGCAUACACAUUCACAUCUCAGGGGCAAUUUAGCAUAGCCAAUCUAUCUGCCCGCAUGUUUUUGGGAGGUGGGAGGACACUGGAGAACCUGGAGAAAACCCACUCAGGCACAAGGAGAACAUGCUAAACUCUGCACACACACAUACAGUAGCCUGAGCACAGGAUCAAACCUGGCCCUGGAGCUGUGAGGCAGCAACACCCUUGUCUAAGAAUUAUUCAGUGUAAACGUAUGUAUUAUUGAGAUAUUUUAACCCGCAUCAACCGCAUCAACUCACAGACAUCAACCUCUAGAUGGAGACAUGACUCCCUUAAUAAAACAGUAGAUUUGUCCCAGGUUUUGUUCUGUGGGUUUAGAAUUGAAACAAUUGGUCAUAGCGUGAUAACUUGUUUUUCCAUGCAUGCACAAUACACAAUGUUUUGUUGUCAGUGAACAUAGUUUCAGUGCUAAAUUACAUGAUAAAUAAAAGCAAAAAACAUACUCCAGAGAAUCAGAAGAAGAAGUUUCAUGAUGGAUUUCUGUAGAAAAUCAUGGCUACAACACAUACACUAUGUAGGCAAAUGUAUGUGGACAACUGACCAUUAUACCAAUAUGUUUUGGCUGAAAGUCCCAUUCUAGAUUUAAUCCCCACUUUGCUGUCAUAAUAACCUCCACUAACCUCCACUUUUCUGGGAAGGCUCUCCAAUAGAUGUUGGAGCAUGGCUGUGAGGAUUUGCUCAUUCAGCCAUAAGAGCAUUAGCGAGGUCAGGCACUGAUGUUGGUGAGGAGGUCUGGGGUGCAGUCGGCGUUCCAGCUCAUCUCAAAGGUGUUCAGUGGGGUUGAGGUCAGGUCUCUGUGCAGGCCACUCGAGUUCUUCCACACCAACCUAGGCAUGCCAUGUCUUCAUGGACCUCGCUUUGUGCACAGGAGCAUUGUCAUGCUGGAACAUAUUUGGGCCCCUUAGUUCCAGUGAAAGGAAAUUUGUAAUGCUACUGUAUACAAAGACAUUCUAGACAAUUGUAUGCCUCCAACAUUGUGGCAACAGUCUGGGGAAGAACCACAUAUGGGUGUGGUGGUCAGGUAUCUACAUACUUUUGGCCAUAUAGUGUAGGUCUCUCAGAGGCCUAGACAGAGGAGUUUCAGCUGCUGCAAUAAUUUGCAGGUUUAGAAGUCUUCUCAUAGUUAAUGUAGCCAUAUAAAACUGUAAAACAACAGUGUGGUCAAAGUGAAAUUACAUUGAAGUCUACAAAUCUAAGUUGAGAAAAGACAGAUGACGGUGAAGGAUGGCAAGAAGAAUUGCGAGAUCUCUAACAGAACGAUAGAUCAGUGAUGAGUCAUGACAGAGUUCAACACUCUAUGCUAUCAGUCCUGCUGUAUGUAAUGGAGCUGCCAUACACAACACAGAACCAAACCAGAGGACAUUUAUCAAAUAACAGAGCAGAAAUGUCAUCACUACUAUCUGGUGGCCUACAAAGAUGUGCUUAAUUUUUUUCUUAAAGAUCAGUCUCAAUAGGUAUGUUCAGUAUAUAGAUUAAAUUAUGUUUCUUAAUGUUUUGUCACUAUACUAUGAUCUUAUGUGGAAUAAAC